rnacentral:lncRNA from 1 species
CAUUUUUAGUAUAUUCUCAGCCAUUUCUUUUCGCAGUUGCUCCAUGUGUUUUUGUGAAGGUUCUAUAUCAAUUUGGGAGGGGAUGUUGGGGAAGUUAUGUGCAUCUUCCUUGGCCAUCUACACCAAAAAAAUUGUGUAGGCGUUAAGCGCACGCAAAUGUGCAUGCAGGCGGUUCAACAUGUGCUAAAUAAACGGCUGCAAGCGGUCCUGCACACGUCAAGUUGAGGCCUACAGCUGCUAAAUAUACACCUACACACGGUAACUUAAUGCGUUCCUUAAUAUGCUAAUUUUACUAGCCAAUUUCCCUAGCUCCUCCUUUCAAACAGGUUUCAAUAAUCAGUGUACAGUCAGUUUGAUGCAACAACAUCCAAUUGAAGAUGGCACUUCCUUAUCCGCUGCAAAUAGACCCUAAAUGACUGCACUUGGCUUCUGCUCUCUGAUAAUCCUGAACUUGAUGCCCUUGAGUCCACGUUAACAAGGUUGAUUAUUUUUAAAUACUACUAUGAAUGAUAAAGUUGAUCCGCACACCCCAGCCAUUGCCGCAGUGAACGGCGCAGUCUUGUAACAUUUUUACAGCCCAGCUAGCUACAUAAAGGUGAUUUAUUGUCGAGGAGUAGUGACGUGAAACAUGUUUUUGUAUUUUUAGGCAUUUUUUGUAUUUUCAGGCUGGCUAGCUAUAAUUGCAAUGCCACCUAGCCUUAGCCGUGCUAGCUCGCGAUUAGCAUGAAAACAUUUACAAAACUCACAUAAAGCUCAUUUGACCUAAGACAACCCUGUAAAAACAUUACUAAAAUCUACAACAUACCAGCUUUCCAACAGUACAGAUAUUACUUUUGAAUACCCUUUGAAAUGUUAAUAUUUAAUCUAAGCCUAUGGUGCAGAAAUGAACAACUUCAGAACCAGGAACGUUAACGUUAGUACUAUGGCACAGUUUUAACAGGAAUCGCAGUUCAUUCAGGAGAUUCGUUCGUCUGGCUGGCAUGCACAACAAGGUAAGCAGCAUUGUAGUGGGUGUGGUUGGGUUUACUGUUGGUUUUUCCCCUCUUCCUUCUCCUGCUGCCCAUUGUAUUUGUUCUUGGUCAACAUUUCUAUUUAUAUCUUGGCCUUAAAAUCCAAUAUUAAAAAAACAUUACUUGGCCACAAUUUGUGACAGUUACUAUAAUUGUAAAGUGUUUUUGGAAUGAGGGGGGCGGGCGGUGUGACAAUACAUUAAGUAGCCUAAACGCAGUGUAUUAUUGUUACAGCCAGUUCUGGUCACCGGCUCCUCGGACUUGGAGAGGAGCUAGAGGUGCACCUUGUUAUGCCAUCACUCAAGAGCAACAGGUUUCUGAUGUCCAGUGCUUUCAGUGUGUCUCAGAUGGCAGAUAUUCAACAUGUGUCCUGAUCAACACUCAAACGUCGUCUAAGUUCAGUUGUUCUUGGGCGUAAUGCUAUAAACUACAGACUUUAUAUGCAUGGUUUCCAGUUUCAUACCAAUCAAACAAUUUAGAAUGACUAUAAUCAAGACGGGACUUUAAAAUGACUAUGAUGAUAUACAUUACCUCAUCUCUGUCCAUUGUUACAAAUUUCCCAGACACUUCAAUCUGUCACAUGCACCAUUAUAUUCUGACAUGUCAGACUUGGCUCUGGAUGUAAAGAUGAAGGACUUGGUGGCUGGGAACGACGACCUUGGACCGGAGGCUGUUCGAGCACUCACGUUUUUGAAAUGUGUAAGCCUUUAAAUGACCUUUUACAGACUACUUCUACAAACGAGGCUACACUUGUGGCAGCACCUAUUCCUGUGGCCCCCCCAUCUUCUGCACCACUUCCUGUGGCCUCCCCUCCACCAUUCCCUGAGGCUUAUCGUCCACCUUCACCACACUCUUCUGUUGAUGUUGGUGAUGACAAUGAUGUUGACCUCCAAACACUGCUGAAGUUAAUGAGAUGCCAACCAAAUGAACGUGGGAUGCUGACGGUAAAGGGGCAGCUGAUGAGGGUGGUCCCUCAUGAGAAUUUCCCCAGCUGCUAAUGAGUGCCAUCCAUUCCUCUGCAAUAUUUGAGGGACCUGAUUGACAAAAAUGCCUUUCUUGCAACUCUCAAGCACUCUAUGAUGGCGUAUACAAGCAGGUGGGCCGCAUGAUUGCUGUCUGUCUGGUACAUGGGGGUGUAGAGACACCAUUUUUUCAGAGAGGCUAUACAGGCAAGUGUGUGGCCUAAAACCUCCUGUGCCAGAACUGAAAGAAAUUGCGGAAUAUGACUUCAGAGAGAAGUUGGAGAAGGUAAGUACUUUAUACUGUGAUGGAUGUUAUGUUACUGUUAAUUUGCACUAAGUUUGUAGUUCAUGAGAACUUUUCCACAUGGAUUUGGUUUAUUUUUGUUGGCAGACAAUCUUUAAGGGUGGUGAUAAUCAGUUUAUUAUUUUGCUAAUUUGUCCCAAAACACAGUUCAAUAAACAAUCUAAGAUCCAGUUAGCACAAACUGUUGACGAGGCACAGGAAGUGGUCAUGUUGGGUCCAGUGCGAUACAUUCGUACAUUGGAGUGGGAUGCCCUGGUGGAGUCAGCCACAAAGUUCUACUUAGAAAGCAGGAUACGGGAUGCUCUUGAGUAGUGAGUUUCCAUAUAUCUAAGGAAUCUCAAGUUUAGUUCAAUUCUUCAGGGCAAAUUCAUACUUUUUUAAAACUUUAUAGAUUCAAAGAGGGUCUGGAGUGUCUAGGUCUCCUGCCUUACAUGAAUAGACACUCAAGCCUCUUCAGAGGUUUUCAUCUACGCUGAGAAACCUCAUUUGGCCAAAGACAUAGCUUCUCUCUUCAAAGCAGAGCGCUCCCCACCUGGUACCAAUUAAAGAGCAAUAGAGAAGAGUUCUAUGUUUCUGGAGCGACUGGCUGCUGGAGGUGGAAGGUUAGAUGCAAAACCAUGAUCAUUGAAGUAACACGGCCCACAUCAGUAAAACAUCACCUAAUCACUCUCACAACUGUGGGAAAGCAUUUUGUAACCUUAUUCUUCCAUGGGCCCCCUAAGAAUGUAAUAGAUAAGUGAAAGUAGUUUGGAUUUAAUUUAAGAGUAUUGUGUUCUCCAACAAGUGUUACUUAUGCACUUUAAUGUCCCCCCCUUUCCUUUUUUCAGGGGGGAACACAUACUCUUUAACCAUGGAGAAGGUUUUCGUUUUCACUUCAGGGGCUUCAGCAUUCCUAGGCUGGGAUUGCCAGUGGAGCCACAACUACAGUUCUCUGCAACCGCACAGCAAGCGGUACCGGAGCGCCAAGUCUAGGUCCAAGAGGCUUCUAAACAGCUUCUACCCCCAAGCCAUAAGACUACUGAACAUCUAAUCAAAUGGCUACCCAGACUAUUUUCUGCUACUCUAUCUAUGCAUAGUCACUUUAAUAUCUCUACCUAUAUGUAUAUAUGACUAACCAGUGCCCCCGCACAUUCUCUGUACCUGUACUCCCCCUGUAUAUAGCUUCACUAUUGUUAUUUUCCUGAUGCUCUUUAAUUAUUUACUUUUUUUUUUUUUUUGUAGCUGCAUUGUUGUUUAAGGGCUUGUAAGUAAGCAUUUCACUGUAAGGUCUACACCUGUUGUAUUUGGUGCAUGUGACAAAGACAAUUUGAUUUGAUUUAAAGAAUUCAUUUAAGGGGAAUUAUCCAAAACGUUUAUUGCAUGACCACCUAGUAAAUUCGGAAUACUGCAGCCAAUGUUAAUUGAUGUGCUAGCUAGCUGACUUCUGUGGCUAGCUACCAUAGGUGAGAACGGGGGUUGAAAAUGCUUCGAGGGAAUCCAAAAGUGAAGGUGGAGGUAGGGGACGAUUAUGGCCAAGGAGGUGCGUGUGCAUGGACGUCGGAGGAUCUGGCUGAGGAGAUCGCCAGGACGUCGGAGCCCAGAGGCCGCUUGAGGGAGGACGUUAGAGUGAUGGUUGCUGAAGCGGGCAUGAGUGCUUCAUUGACUGUGCUUCGCGCGGAUUCUGGUGGGCGGACCGAAGGGGUGACGUCGACGAGGAAUCUGGGGCUCAGGAUGUAAACAAACAUGGCGGCGCCCAGCUCCCGGCUGUGUCCGUAUCUGUUAAGACCCCGACGUAUUCCGGUAAGGCGGAUUGGGAAGCUUUUCAUGCUCAGUUUGAACUGUUAGCUCAUUUUAGGGGAUGAUCACGGAUGAUGCUCUGGCCUGUUUGAUAUUGAUUAGCCCCGAGGACAGACGUGAUUAUGGUGCUUCAGUGGGAGCACUGAGGAGGCGCUAUGGACUGUAUGUACAGCCCGGCUGCUGCGCUCCGAACUGAGUAAUAGACGCAGGCAGCCUGGAGAGCCUCUACGGGUGCUAGCUAAUGACAUUAAGAGCCUCUCUCGGCCGGCAUAUGCUCACAUGCCCCCCUCCGUGCAGAGCGAGCUAGCACGGGACCAGUUCAUACAGGCGCUCUCCUACGGAGCUGCGCAUACAGACCCAGCUGGCUCAUCCUGAGUCAUUGCCGAUAGCUUUGGAGAGGGAGCUGGUGUGGGCUGGGGCUUUGGUGGGGGUGCAGGGAGACAGACCCUCUGUGCGGGCUGGGGGGCAGAGCAGCCCAGACCUGGAAAAGCCUGCAUGGGUGGCUGAAAUGACAGAACUCAUAGCGUGCUGUGUCGCUACCCUAGUCCCAGGGUCUGCUGGGGUUGUUGCCAGCCAGGCCAUCUGCGCAGGGGUUGCCCCUUGUCCCCCAGAGCUCAGGGAAACGGCUCGGGGUCCGCAUAGACCGGGUAGUGUGGACCCCUGGCUUUCUUUCCCAACCACCAUCUUCUUCAGGAGGAGCCCACCGGCCCAGACGGGGAAGCAAGGCUCCACUUCCCCCAGAAGCAGACGAGGGCAAGCGGAUGGAGCCUGUCGUUGUGAUGGGCCGGACCUGUGUUGGAGACUUUUGUCAUGUCCCUGUCACUGUGGAGGGUGUUCCCUGCUCUGCCCUGGUUGACACUGGGUCCACAGUAACCCUGGUGAGGCCGGAUAUUGUGCCAGGUUGGACUCAGUGUGAACCCACAACUGUGCAGCUCCGCACAGUCACAGGUGAGCUGGCACCCAUGAAAGGGAAGGGAAUAAUGACUCUGACAGUAGGGGGCAGGUCUGUGCGUCAUCCUGUGUGGGUGGCGGCUGUGCAGGACCCUUGCAUCCUGGGGUUGGACUUUCUUAGGCGCACAGGCUGGCAGUUAGACCUAAAUGGGGGAACACAGAGCUUCCAGGGAGGGCCGGCAGUCACCAUGGCCCCCCUAAUGUCACAUUCACUCAACCCAACAAACCCUUUACUCCAACAGUUAAAGCAGCAGAGACUCAUGGCUGCCCCCCCUCCCCCCACAUCUGUGUGACUUUUCCCCAGGCCCCCUGUCACCUACGGCUGUGCGUUACAUUCCCUCGGCUACCUCCACGACACAUCCCUCCGUGGCAGUUGCUGUUUGAAUUCAGAGACGGCUUUGCGCUGAGUGAGGAAGAGGUGGGUCAGACUCAUCUGGUGCAGCAUGAGAUCGACACAGGUGAUGCUUGACCCAUCAAGAUGCGUCCCCGCCGUAUCCCGCUGGCACGCCAGGAGGCGGCAGACAAGGCUGUGUUGAAAGGAGGGAGUAGUGUAACGACCCUGGGUUUAUAAGCGUGGAAAUCGACUCUGCCGCUCGAGCAUGCUUUUGCGGCACAGUCGAUAGCGCGCUGGACUUCGGGCUAGAAGGUCGAGGGUUCGAGACCUGCUGUUUCAUUACAUUGGUGUCAGAAGUGAUCGAACCUUGCAUCCACGACAGUGCGUGUGCUUGGCUGGUGAGCACGUUUCAAGACCUCCCUGCCUGUUUCAUUACAGUAUAUUUAGCAGCUGUAGGCGUUAACUUGACGUGUGCAGGACCGCUUGCAGCUGUUUAUUUAGCACAUGUUGAAAAAACGACUUUAUAUCGGUGUUAUAUGCAUGUUCACACGCGUAUCUGCCGUCUCAUUGACUAGAAUGGUCCCACUUCAACAGCUGAGGGAUAUACUGAUCGCCAAGGUGGAUUUCGUGGCAUUUUAUUGUGCAAGUGAUUAAUUGUACUGGCCAAAUGAGUCCAAGAAACUGGCCGUCGUAUCUGCGGGUGAAAGGUUCUUGGGUAUCCACGAUUUCACGGCUGAAACGUAAGGAAUACUGUCUGAAUAUGUUAUUCUUUCUCAGGCACCAGAGAGCCUGUAGCAAUCAGUUGUUUCAUUGUCAUUUGUUUAUUAUUUGGGAAGAAUGUGAUUUCUCUCCCCCUUUUUCUCUUAUUGUUUUAUUUGAUCUCGUAUACUACCCUGUACAGUGGGUGGCGGCAUGCACCUCUAACAUGUUUGCGUACCGCUAUAAUACCAUAGAAGAGUUGUCCCAACUGAUCGGUCAUGGCUAAAAGUUAAAUUAACGUCAAAAGUAGUUCAUUUUGCAUUUUAGCUAACUUUAACCUAAUUAUUCUAACCUGCUCCAGAAAGUAAAAUAUGACAAAACCCACCUGGUCUCUUCCUCGGGCCUGCCUUCCUUCUUUGAAGACAGAAAAACAGGAGAACUGUGCAAUGUCUGGAUAUGGAACGUCGGAAUCUACACCGAGAGAUUUGCCGACUAUCCUCAGGUGUUGUGAAGAGAAGGUUUGACUGGACGUUGUUACUGGGAGGCUGAGUGCGGUGGGAAAUCGUUUAAUGCAGGUGUGGCAUAUGAAGACAUGAGCAGGGUUGGAAAAGAGCUCAACUGUUUAUUUUGUUACAAUGACAAAUCCUGGAGCCUGAGACGCCUCAAACGUCGUUUCCUCAAACGCUGACAAAGUUGGGGUGUAGCUGAACUCCUCAAGGCAUUCUGUCCUAACAAGUCUACGACACACCUGCAUUUCACUCAACCUUCACUGAACCACUCUAUGCAAUACUGUCAGUCAGUGACUAUUCAUCAGUGUCUCCGUGCUUGGUCUCAAAUGAGGAGAAAAGGAGGAUGGCAGAUGGUUAAGAUAAUAUCCUGUUCGAGGGAGAGAUCAGUUGACUGAGAAAAUACAUUUGAAAAAAUUCACAAUAUUUUCCAUAAUGAUUUGAACAUUUCAAUGUUCUGAAUGACCUCCAUUCUUAACGUGUUUAUAUCGGAGGUCUUACUGUACACCUCAAACUAUUCAGAUUAACAGUAUACACCAUUCCAUGGUCUUAGUAAAAAAAAUGUUUUAAUAUUUUUAGAUGUGAUGCAUUUUUAUCUAAUAAAGUAAUUAACAUUUCUCAAGCACUUGACCCCAAACUCUGGUCUUCUUACCCCAAACCACCACACCUCUAACCCAGCAAGUAUGGGGAUAGUGAGAGAGAGCACACAGAGAUAGAGAAGCUGACAUAUGAAGUCAGCCAUGCUUGACUUGCACCGCACCAUCUGUCUCCCUCCAAAUUUUAAUGAGACACCAGGAAGGGGGGAGACUAGAGAAGAGGCUGGAUCCAUUCAAACAGACAUCUUGUUAGACUACAGCGCUUCUCCAAGGUAAUGGUCUGCUGGGUAUUUUUGCUGUAUAGUGGAUAGAUAGAAGUAGACUAACUUCAUGUUGCUGCUGUGUGUUGGAAGAAGGGAGGGGGUAUGGUGUGAGGUGCUUGUGUCUCGGCUUAACCUUCUCUAUUUCACAGGGGUCCCACACACCGCCGGCAUGAUUUGGACUUCUAACCCCUUUUAAACAUUGUGUGUUUGAGCUACAGACUUCUGGGUUGUACCAUUAGAUUUGUACCAUUGGAUUUGUCUAUGUCUCCUGCUUCAGCUUUGUGAUUGACAGGGGCCGAGCUAGAGCGGUGUUUGUGGGACAAGGGAAGAUCCCUAAGCGGCCCGGGGCUGGGUAGAGUUACCUAAAAGCGAUCUAUAAAAAUCUGACUCACAAACAUGCACGUAUCAUGUUUUUGACGCUCACAAGCUAAUUAGAAGUCGUUAGAAGGUAAGGGGUUAUCCUACAAAGAAGAUCAAAGGAAAUCCAAGGACAUAGUGCCUAUAAUAAACUCCAAACUGCACAGUUGUCACUGACUAGUUGGAUAUUCAUUUCCCACUGACCAAACAAUUUAUGUACAUACAGCAUUCAUAUAAAUACAUUCAGGUUUUUGCAUUGGCUGACUAUUAAAAAAUAUAUAUGCAUUAGUCAAAACUUGUCAAAUUGUUUAACUUGUAGCCCUGGUUGUCCUGAAAAUAAAAUGGUAAAACACUGAGGCUAAAUAUAAGGGCUGGACAUGCAGACAAAUGAAAGUCAUAAACGAAAAGACGAUUUUUGUUGGGGUCUCAAGACUGGUAAGUUUAGCCUUUUCUCUGCUGACAUUUAUGGAGAAAGCCACUCAUUAAAAAACGUCAAUCUACUACACAAUAGAGGAUUCACCACCGUCUCAGUAUAUUACAGAUUUUGUCCUUGCUUCAAGUGCUCCAUCUGAAGCUUCUAAGGAGCACUCAAUCUUAGAUCAUGUUCUUUCCCUUGUUCAUCCUUGCCUACACACUCUCUCAGAUUAUAUAACAGGGCAAAGCAAAAUCCAACUGAUAGGCUAAAUUUGCCUCUUGUCAUAAUCUGUCUUUAAUGAUGAGGAAUGGGCCAUGUUUUCAAAGACUUUUCCAGAGGCUGGUUUUACAUGAGCCCUAUGCAGUUAAUUACAGCUGUAUAACAAGUACCUCAAAGCUGAGUCCUCACACAAUAUAACUCCGCUCUUAUGUAUAAAAUAGGCUAGGUCUAUUCCUUAUUCCAUGUUUAGUCACAGCUACUAUCAAAUUCAAUCCCAACAUGUUAAGGAUAGCUUCAGACAUCUCAAACAUACAAUCUCUUGUGCCUCACUGAAGGAUGUAUCCUGCUCUGCAUAGCACCACAGAGACAAUGAGUGAUGACCAGGGACAGAGCACACCUUCGGGUUUCUCAAAAACAUUCCUCAUCCAAAGCAAGUCAGUCUUUGGGCAACAGGGGCAGGGGGACAACACAGACAUACAGUACUCCUAGGGGACAGUAGGGACACUGUGCUCUUUAGUGUCCCUAGUGGAUGCCAGGUGACCCUACUGAUCCACUGGGCUGCCUGCAUUACUGCAUAUGGGUCAAAGGUACACAAUUACACCAAAUAGACUAGAGCAGGGGUAUUCUUACCCUAGGAGGUAAUUGCACCCACCAGGUGCCCCAGGUCUAAACCAGUCCCUGAAUAGAGGGGAACAAUGGGAAAAAAAUCAAAGAAUCGAGUUUGAGGGGACUAAAGCAACAAACAGUUUUCAGUUCUUUAUUAACUGAAAAAGAGGAAUUGUCAAAUGUUAUAAGGCACAUAUUUUCGCAUCUGCACAGAUGUCAUACUGAGCGACCCAAAAGUCAAUGUUGUCAAUAACUUAAAAAGGUACAAAGUGUGUAGCGCUUGGAUUGUACAUGAAUAUAGUAUGUUCUCCUGUGUGACAUAUUCACAAUCUGUCUAGUACAAAAAUACCACAUUCAAAUCAGGACAAAAUCCUGAGUUGCUUUCAACUAUUCGAACAGACAGGACCAAUUGCUGGCGUGUGAAAAUACAUUAUUUCUUUUUGUAAUCGCACAUUUUUGGAUGUAUACAUUCUACAGACAUAGCUUGGACUACUGGCCUGAAAAACUGGCAAAUGCUCUCUGUCAUGUAACCUUAAAAAACACAUUGCUAAACAAUGCCAGUAGAUUCAUUUUGUCACACUUUAAUUAAAUGCUUCUUCAACCUUUCACCUGAAUAAAACAUCCCCAGAUCAAACUUGGCACGGUGUGUACUGACAGUCCUUUGGUAAACAGGAAAUUGAAAGUAAGACCGCACCAGAGCCAACAUGAAUCCCACUGUCGUUACAGAAUGAGUGAGAUGUAGCGGAUAAAAGUUCUGCCCUUGAGCUAACAUGGUUGUCUUAGUUGCCACACAUCUUCAUCCAUCAAAAAGGCACCUAUGAAGCCACUCCUGUAAUACUUCUCCAUUCAAUUUGAUAGUUUUGCAGCUCAAUUCUCUCAUGGCAAAAUGGCACUUGGCAGGAAGCUUCAAUUAAGACAAAUGGCAGGUCCAAGGACACAAGGAGAUAGUGAAGUGUGGGUGAGAGGAUGAAAUGAGUGACCUGAAAACUUGCCUAGUUAAAUAAAGAUAAAAAAUAAUAAAAAAAAAAAAAAAACAGCUAUAUGAGGGAUGAGUACAUUAAGCUGGGAGUCAGGGGGGGUCAUCCUUUGGGUGCAGCAAGUCUCUGGGUAAAUUGGGACCCAGUUCAUGGAGGCAGGGCUGAGGCAUACAUCCCCAGCGGGGCCCAGCCAUCCUAGAGCAGGACCCAAUUCAACCCCUACCCUUCCCCUUGGCCGAGAUCUAUUAGAUAGGAGCAAUAUGGUGGACGCUUUAGUACUACACUGCUCAGGGCUCUCCAACGCUGUUCCUGGACAGCUGCCGUCCUGUAGCUCUCGAGGAACAGGGUUGGAGAACGCUGACACUGCUUAUACCUAUUAAGACCCGACAGACAUGCUAACAUCAAGGGGUUAGGGCCAAGGGGAGGUAUGUGGAACCAGCCACUACUCUAUGGCCCUGGGCAUGGUGGCUACGUAAACGAAGACUACGAUGAGCAGCACCACCACAGCCAGCGUGGGUAGAACCACUGUGGCCACCUGUGACCGGGCCUCCUGCAUGGCCGCCUUACGCUCCUUCUUGUCCCUGGACGUCUCCUUCUUGGGCUUCCCCUUCAGCUGCCUCAUGGUGGCGCCCUCCCUGGGCGGGCACACUGCAACACUCCGUAGGGUCAGCCAAGACUCUCAGACAAGUCCUGCAGAUGCAGUGACAGUUACUGAAUCUACAGUUCUGAAGGUGCAGUCGGUGGUGGUCCACUUGCUCGCCAACACCACGCACCUGUGACCAGGAAGAGAACAUACAGUAUACAAAUCAGGCUAUGGCUAUGUAUUUUGAUUCGUUUAUUGGUACUUUGGGCUAUGUCUGACUAAGACUUAAGUGAGAGACAAGAGAACCAUAUUUUACAUUACUUAACCAUAUCUAUAUUACAGAGUUAGCCAAAUCCAAAUGAAGGAUCAUCCUAAACCACAAGAGUGUGGUCAAAAAUGACCAGUUCUAAAAUGCUACUAAAUGACCAUUAUACAGUUCAUCCUCCCUGGUUUCCCCCCUGCACGUCUAAUGGCAACGCUUCCACCGAAGAGAAAUGACACCAGUCGCUAUGACAACCGAACACAGGGCAGCAGAACCACUGCACACUGUUGUUGUUACUUAAUAUACAAAAAAAAAAAAACACUAUCCACUAACAAGGACAUUUUAGCAUAGCAACAGUUACAUAGUCACUUCAGACUAUGUAAAUAUGGGUUUUGAGUAAGACA